rnacentral:rRNA from 1 species
UUCCGUAGUGAACCUGCGGAAGGNCAUUA